AGCUUGGCGCUGCAGUUAGCCACUAACACCUCAUUCCGGUGGGCAGAGGAGAUGGAACCCACAUGCUUUCUCUGGGUUCUAGCUCAGUUCCUUUCCUCUAUGAAAUUUGCCUUCAGUCACCUUUGCUCCAUGGUGGUCAUUUUCUUCUCUUAGAUUCUAUACCCAUUAUUAUGUGUUUAGCACUUGCAAAGAGCAUGUACAUGUUGGCAUUUUUAGUAUAUCUAUUUUAUAUCCUUAACCACAUUUUAACUGAAAGACAUUUGUUGUAUAACCUUUUGUAACCUAAGUGCAUAUAAAAGCAACUUCUACCUUUUGGGUAUUCAAUAUAAAUAUAAAUUAAUUUUAAGAUACUAAACAUUAAAAAAUAAAAGAGUAUUUCCCCUGAGCAAUAUCAUCUAUGCUUUAUAACUUCAGAUACCAUCAUUAUACAUCACAGACUGCCAAGUAGAUAACUCCAACUCCACUACUCAGUUGACCUUCAGUCUUGUAUAUAUUCAAAACAGCUGUUUGAUAAUAGCUAUACUUGUAUAUAUAUAAACAUUUAAUACAUCAUUCUCUAUAGUUAACCCCUUUUAUUCUGUCCCCUCUGCCACUGCGUUCAAAAAAUCCUAUUUUUUCCCUUGUGCUUUUAAAAUAACCUAAUUCAUGUGCAAAAUGCUGGUUUCACCUCCUCUCACACUGUCCUUCAUGUUGCCAUGAGUUUUAGAUCAAGCUUACCCCCUUAACCUUUUAUUUUCACAGUAAAGUCUGAAUUUCUUAUAUAAUCAGUAAUCCAUUCAUGGUCCAUCUAGCACCAUCUCUGAUGUUCAUUUUUCAAAUACUUUAUUGUCCCGCUCCAACUGUCUAUAAUGAAUGACCUUUCAGUAAAAUAAAUUAAAAAUGACAAACU